CGCCGCCACCUCGUGCCCCCUUCCACCGCACGCGCCUCUCUCACCAUCCACCGCACGCACCGCCGCCUCCUCCGCCAAAUCCACCACGCGCCGCCUCCUCCUCCUCUCCCACCGCGCGCAGCCCCCUCGGUCUCACCCACACCACCGCACGCCGCCGUCCACCCAAAUCGGUCGCCGCACCUCCACCAGCCGGCCGCCCACCCAAACCAUCCCCUCCUCCCCACCUCCGACUCGACCCAAUGCCUUCCCAUCUCCUCCGCCGACUCCCCAUCGCCUCCACCUCCGGUGCCUGCCUCCACCUCCUCUUCUGACAUUAAGGAAGUCCCCUUAUUCAGGUGCUUUCGUGAUGGAUUUGGAGGGGAACUUGUAGCCAUUAGUUGCUUAAAAGUCGAGGGUAACUAAUUGACCAGCAUUUGUUCUGUACUUUAACGAAUUUUACACCGAUUGCAACCAGAAUUUGUUUCGGGUGUUAGAAUUGGGAGAAUGACAAGGGAGGUAACCAUGAAUCUUAGAUCAACAAGUUUAGUGGUCCACUAUCGAUUUUUCUACAAUCAACCUACGUUGUUGACCAUCUACCCAGCAGGAGAUAUAAAAAACACAAUAGGUCAUAACCGGAAGGGCUACUGAAAUUGUUCUGCUAAAGGUGUAACUUGUCCCUGAAAUUGUCCAUUGAAGAUUUUUUGCUGAAAUUAUUUUUGAAUGAAGACCUGCUAAAGAUAUCACUUGUCCCAGAAACAGACCUAAUAAAGAUAUCACUUGUCCAUUGAAGUUAUCUCUGUAUUUAUAUUAUUUGGAAGAGAUGUCACUUACAGUUAAUGAAUGCUAAGAAUUAUUUGUACUCUUGUAUGGAUAUGCUCUAUGCAGAGGCAUGUAUAUAUUGCUCCUAGAUGCAACAUAAUUGUUACUCAUGAAUUUGUUAUUUCUGAAACUGUGGUAUGGAACCCUACAGUGCAAUAUUUUCUGCA